rnacentral:rRNA from 1 species
UACGGAAGGCAGCAGUGGGGAAUAUUGCACAAUGGGCGAAAGCCUGAUGCAGCUAUGCCGCGUGUAUGAAGAAGGCCUUAGGGUUGUAAAGUACUUUCAUCGGGGAGGAAAAACAAAACUAAUAAUUUUAUUUCUUGACGUUACCCGAAAAAGAAGCACCGGCUAACUCCGUGCCAGCAGCCGCGGUAAUACGGAGGGUGCUAGCGUUAAUCAGAAUUACUGGGCGUAAAGAGCACGUAGGUGGUUUUUUAAGUCAGAUGUGAAAUCCCUGGGCUUAACCUAGGAACUGCAUUUUGAAACUGAAAUACUAGAGUAUCGUAGAGGGAGGUAGAAUUCUAGGUGUAGCGGUGAAAUGCGUAGAUAUCUGGAGGAAUACCUGUGGCGAAAGCGGCCUCCUAAACGAAUACUGACACUGAGGUGCGAAAGCUGGGGAGCAAACAGGGAUUAGAUACC